rnacentral:lncRNA from 1 species
CUCCCGGUCCCCCUGCACCACAACCCUCCCAUUGCUGGGGUCUCAGGCUUUAGGGGAAGGGGGUGUCAUUCCCAGGGACCAGCUUCCCCCUCAGCCUCCCCCAGGAAGUCUGCCCUAAUGCCCGGGAGGAUGGUAAUUAGUAUGAGGCAGGCUGAUUAGCUCAGAAAUUAAGUCUUUGUUUCCCUCGCUCCCCAGUUUCCCUAAUUGAGCAGAUGCAGAGCGGGGGACGGGGAGGGGCUGCUAGUGGGUCACGGGGCUGGGGCGGCACACGCGUGGCUGUGUGCUUGCUGCAGGGGUGGUGGGAGUGGGGAGCGGCAUGGAUGGGAGGCACUGUCUGGGGGUCCCUUUGCUCUCUGCCCUUUCCCUGAUGGGGGAGUGCCAGGGGGGGGUCACCUGGGGGUGAGUCCCGAGAUGUGCAGCCCUCUGGGGUGUGAUUGAGCUGACAGGCACCACACUCCGGCACUCCGUUGUGAGUGCUUGUAUGCAGUCAUUCAUCCCCGUGUCCAGGUCUUCAUAUCCAAUCACCGAUCGUAACUGCUGUUACUUGUUGAGCACCUGCUGUGUGCCAUCACUGGACUGGACAACUGUCCAAGGUCACACAGUUUGGAGAGGCCAGGAAAGGGUUCAGAUCCAGGUAGUCUCAUGCAGCCCUGUCUCAGGCUAAGGGGGCUAUUUGGGCAGGGAAAGGGGAUCCUGCGAUCACGUGGUGGUCAGUUCAGGUCCUGGAUGCUAGGUUGAGGCCUUUGUCUUUCUUGUUUGUUAUUCGGGCAUCAGCACAUCCCCCUUCUUGGGUCACUGGGAGGAGCAGUGACAAUAACUGUAAUGACAGCAGUGAUGAAUUAUUUAGUGCUUGCUAUGUCCCAGGCAGGUGACCCAUGCCUGACAUGUUUUCUUAUUUCAUGUUUACAGUGACCCCGUGAGCCAUGGGGUUGAUACCUUCACUAUCCCCAUUUUACAUUUUAAGAAGCUGAGGUGGCCGGGCAUGGUGGCUCAUGCCUGUAAUCCCAGCACUUUGGGAGGCCGAGGUGGGUGGAUCACCUGACGUCAGAGGUUCAAAACCAGCCUGGCCAACAUGGCAAAACCCCCUCUCUACUAAAAAUACAAAAAUUAGCCGGGUGUGGUGGAAUGCACCUAUAAUCCCAGCUACUCAGGAGGCUGAGGCACAAGAAUCACUUGAACCCAGGAGGCGGAGGUUGCAGUAAGCUGAGAUCACGCCAUUGCACUCCAGCCUGGGCAAGAGCGAGACUCCAUCUCAAAAAAAAAAAAAAAAAAGCUGAGGUUCAGGGGGGUGAGGGGCCUUGCCCUGGUUCCACAGUUGGUAAGUAGGGGACCCAGGAUUCAGCCCAGGGCCUGACGCCCAGCCCUUCCUUCUUGAUCACCAGCAGGUAGCUGGAACUCCUGUGUCUCUGGGGCUCAGCUAAGGAUCUGGGGGGAUGGCCCUCCUCACAACAACCUAUGUGGUAGGUAUUGCUUUUAUUCUCAUUUUACAGAUGGGGAAGUUGAGGCUCAGAGAGGUGAAGUGACUUGCCAAGGAUCCCAUAGCUGGUGAGGUGUUGGGUUCGGGCUUUGAACACAGGCGGGUGUGGCAG